rnacentral:piRNA from 1 species
CACAGGAAGAAGAAUCAGGCCGG